rnacentral:lncRNA from 1 species
CCAGUUGACCCCACACAUAGCUGAAGAGUCAGCCAGCUGAGCCCGGCCCCAACUGCUGACAGAGCUUCUGGUGCAGCCCAGACACAGGAUACAGAAAGUCAACUUGGUACAGGUUUGGCUCCUUUGAUGAGUGUUUUCCUAGCUGCACUUUGGGAGAAAAGAAGGCAGAGCACCCCCAUGUGCGGGCACACCCACAGAGCAGUGUCUGCAAACCUGCUUUGGCACAGCACACAAGAAGCCUGGUCUGGGAGCCUCCACAUCAGUACACAGAGUGCUUCUGCAGCCUUUGAUGGACAUGAGUUUGCACCAGAGCAGCUGCAGAGGUGAGACGUGGGUUCUCCGCGUCACCCUCCAUCUGCAUCACAUCUGGAUGGGAAAACUGAAGAGUCCAGGAGGGAACACUCUCUCCCGCAUUCACGGGCUGCCUGACACCACAGCUUAUAAUAGCAGGCGCUGUCUCCACUGCUAUGAGAAACGUAGCCCUGGCCUGAAGGUAUCAGAGGUGGCAAGACCUAGAAAAGCUCCAAUAGGAGUCAGGCUGCCUUCUGCAGGCAGAACCGCUUGCGUGCUCUAUGAAACACUGGAUCGCUUGAUGCCCUGGCUGAGAAAGAGCUUCACUGUAGAGUAAGGGGGAGAAAGCCAUUACACAGCGUAUUGUCACUGCUGCAUGUAUAUUGUACACUGAACACUUUUUAGGGGAGCCAUUUUAUCCUUAUCUCUGCGAAUGACACCUGGAGCUGUGCAGUGCACAACCUGUGCAACCUCACAUGGCACCCCAUUUUUACAGAUAUGAGGUAAAAUAAAAAUGCAAAGGUACACAUACAAUGUUAGAAGUGGCAUAUUAAUGGUGAUUUUUGUUUUCUUCUCUGAGCUUUCCCUGCAUUUUCCAAUGGUUUUUCUAUAGUGAAGAGGCUUGCAAAACACGCCAGGCCCAGUUGCAAGUGCCUAGUAUGUAUUAACUCUGCUAAGAUACACAACAAUUCUAUAAGGUAGGCAGCAGUAGAAUCCCCACCUCAGAGAUGAGAACUCUGAGGUGCCAAGACAUCAUGAAACUUGUCCAAGGAGCUACCAGGAGACCCAGCUGGCCACCACCAGCUCUGCAUUUUCAAUCACCAAUGUUCACGUGCCUCCCAGUUGCAAAGAAUCCUUCCUUCAUAAAUUUGUUCUGGUUCUAUAUUGUCUUGAAUGUACUCACUAGAAGAGAUAAAUACCUGUUUGGCAUUUGUAUGAGUCUGUUUUCACACUGCUAUGAAUAACUCCCUGAGACUGGGUCAUUUAUGAAGAAAAGGGGUUUACACAAUGCACAGUUCUGCAGGCUUAACAGGAAGCAUGGCUGGGAGGCCUCAGGAAACUUAAAAUUGUAGUGGAAGGCAAAGAAAAAGCAAGCACAUCUUACCACGGCACAGCAGGAGAGAGAGAGCAUGAAGCGGGAGGU